CACAAGGGAGAAAAGCAAGUCUCUCCUCUUCAAGAGGCUGUUCUGCCUCGAUGUCAUGUCUUGGAACUAUUGCUGCCGUCUGCUACCUGACCAAUGAAGAAAACCAACACUGAGGUAUCAGAGCAGAGAUGGGAAGGACCUGGGUCUUAAGACAUCGUUGAGCUUUUCUGUCUCUGGACUUCUUGUUAUGGAAGAUGCCGUGCAGUGCGCCACUGGCUUGUACUUAACUUGCCAAAGCUUCGGUGCCUUCUAGGUGGUCCACACGGUUUCAGACCACUCCCUGUCACUCCAGGCUGGAGUCCGGACCUUCCACAGCCUAAAAGAGAAGGGCAGUUUGGUGAUUUUUUAAGGAGACAAGUGCCAGAUAUUUCAAAAUAUAGGCUAGCUCAGAAAACCACCUUGGAGUCAAUGCAGUGAGCCUCCCUGAGAAUGGAUGAUUGCUAAUAACGGCCCCCCCCGGCAUCUCCAUGGUGGGUCCGAUUCCUCCAGCUAUAUUUCUCUGGCCCACUUGGCAUCCUGGCUGGAAGGACACAAGAUCCACUCCUACUCCGGGUGCCCACAGACCUCAGCUGCCCUCAUCCCCUGUCUCAAGAUUACACAGGACACAUUCAAAGAAUUCUUCCUUUGAAGAAGGUCGUCGUCUUUGGACUUGAGAUUUUCACGACCCAGUGCAGUCCCCCGAGGCCCAAAAUGAAGCUGGAAUGAUCCAUGCCUCUUUGAAUGCCAGUAUCUCCAAAGAGCUCAGGAAUUUCAGUUUCCUGAAACUCAGACCUAUUAUGUGAAAUGCUUCAGUUUCUGAGCCUUGGCAAUUCUCAUAUGCCCAUUGUUCUUUCUGGCCUGGACCUGACCCUUGCAUAUGCAUUUAGAAACACUUGCACAGGACAAGGAAGAGGCGUCGAGGAAGAAGAUCCAAAUAUCAAAAUUGUCCUUUGAAAAAUACAACUGAUUACUGAAUUCGAACCCUCUGCUGUAUCUGGGCACA